GGCCGAAUAACAUAGUGGUAAUGUACUGGACUGCAAAUCUAUUAAGGAUGGUUCGAUUCCGUCUUCGGCCU
rnacentral:tRNA from 3 species